CCAGAGUGUGACCUCAAGAGGGUGGUGUCAGCUCAAAGGCCACUCAGCUGCUCUCAGGUUAAACUCGAUCCCAAUCAGCAGACAACAAAGACUGACUAGGGGUGGGGUGGGGGUGGGAUGGUGGGGGGUGGGGAAGGUGAUGGUGGUGGAGGGUGGUGUCAGCACGGAGAGUGUUUGUCUGCACAGAGCUGGGUGAGGUGUCUGCACUGGAGAAGCUUUUAAAAACUGUGCUGUGAUUGGCAGACAAUCACCAAACCUUAACCAAACCCAGAAAAAAAAAGUCAAAAGCCUUCCAUUUGGGGCUACAGAGAUGGUUCCGCCUUAAGGAUUCAUUCUGCUGUCCCCAAAGUUGGAAGAUUUUGUUGGGGACCCCUGCAUCUGAUUUCUUUAUAUUUACCCCCAGCUGUCUUUGCUGGAAUGGAAAGAGAUCUUGUUGUAAGAGGAGCGUUGGAUGAACCAGCCCCAACCCAGGGUCUAGAGUUUGAGGAGUGACAAGGGCAGAUCUCUAAGGAAGCGAAACUCCUCUGAGACCCGACAGGGAACCAGCUUCCUCGAGGAACCUGAGUGAAAGGUCAGAUUGGGGGAACAUCUCAGGGAGGGACCAGCAUGUGCAAAGGUCCUGGGGUGUUGUAGAGCCUGCUCUGUCGAAGGAAGGAAGAGGCUAAAAGUGCCAUGGUGGAGUAUGGUAGGAGGUGGGUCCUGCUCUAAAGGCUCGGAUGCAGGGCAUUAGGAUGUGUGGGGACACAGGGGCUGCUGAAGGGGUCUCUGGGGUCUGGACUAGGGAUUUAUUUCUAGCUGUAUGCUUCUGUGGGGACUCAGAGAUACUUAGCUUGUCUCUGCAAAUGACUUUCUGGUCACUGUUGUGUCCCUGCGUGAUGCUGAAAAUAUUAAAGUUGUUGGGGGAGGGGAGAAAAACAGACCUUCGGGCUACAACUGUACAUCUAGGAGAGUUAACUAUUUCCUUAUGUAACACAAGUAACUCCGGAGUCCAAAUCAGGGUGGGUGUGGUGAGGGGUGGGGGAGGGGUAGGAGGGAUUACCCAAAGUGCAAGUAAAUCAGCAACAGGGACACUGAAUCAUUAAGGGGAGGACCUGUCACCUGAGCCUCCUCAGGUCAUCCAUCGUCCUCGAAGGAUUGUCAGGGCAACAUCAGUGGAAUGAGAACCCUGCUGAGCACAUGGGGCAGCUGUUUCCGUGGGACCUGCUGUCCUGACCUGGGAGUGCCAUGCUGGGGACAUGCUGAGGACCACAGGUGAUUUGAUGUAGGAGGUGCAGGAGUGGCCUCCAGGGGCACAGCCCACCUCCACUGACCCCCUGGCUCCCUGAGGCAGAGACACGGGUGCAGAGCUGGCCUAUCACAUGCUCUUUCCUGGUACCCUGAGUUUUUGGGUGAAUGAAGAAAAGGAGGGAGGAGAGAGAGGGUGGUGACUCCUCCAGGGGACAUGCCCCAGGAUCUGAGCUUAGGGUGGAGCUGCUACGCCCUGGCCACCAUGGCUUCUGGUUUUCCAACCUGGUCUCCCCACCCUGUGAAGAGCCCACUAUCACACAUUGUCCUGGC
rnacentral:lncRNA from 1 species